AUCGUAAAAGCUUCAGAAGGAAAGGAAUGUUUGUGGACCAUUUGUUUCGUGGCAGUUCUUAAGUU